UGUUACGACUUCACCCCAGUCAUGAAUCACUCCGUGGUAACCGUCCCCCUUGCGGUUAGACUAGCUACUUCUGGAGCAACCCACUCCCAUGGUGUGACGGGCGGUGUGUACAAGGCCCGGGAACGUAUUCACCGUGACAUUCUGAUUCACGAUUACUAGCGAUUCCGACUUCACGCAGUCGAGUUGCAGACUGCGAUCCGGACUACGAUCGGUUUUAUGGGAUUAGCUCCACCUCGCGGCUUGGCAACCCUUUGUACCGACCAUUGUAGCACGUGUGUAGCCCUGG
rnacentral:rRNA from 1 species